AACGAACGCUGGCGGCAGGCUUAACACAUGCAAGUCGAACGCUCGUAGCAAUACGGGAGUGGCAGACGGGUGAGUAACGCGUGGGAACAUACCCUCCGGUUCGGAAUAGCUCAGGGAAACUUGGAUUAAUACCGGAUACGGCUGAGAGGCGAAAGAUUUAUCGCCGGAGGAUUGGCCCGCGCUCGAUUAGCUUGUUGGUGAGGUAACGGCUCACCAAGGCGACGAUCGAUAGCUGGUCUGAGAGGAUGAUCAGCCACAUUGGGACUGAGACACGGCCCAAACUCCUACGGGAGGCAGCAGUGGGGAAUAUUGGACAAUGGGCGCAAGCCUGAUCCAGCCAUGCCGCGUGAGUGAUGACGGCCUUAGGGUUGUAAAGCUCUUUCGCUCGGGACGAUAAUGACGGUACCGAGAUAAGAAGCCCCGGCUAACUUCGUGCCAGCAGCCGCGGUAAUACGAAGGGGGCUAGCGUUGUUCGGAAUUACUGGGCGUAAAGCGCGUGUAGGCGGGUCUUUAAGUCAGGGGUGAAAUGCCAGGGCUCAACCUUGGAACUGCCUUUGAUACUGGAGAUCUUGAGUCCGGGAGAGGUGAGUGGAAUUGCGAGUGUAGAGGUGAAAUUCGUAGAUAUUCGCAAGAACACCAGUGGCGAAGGCGGCUCACUGGCCCGGAACUGACGCUGAGACGCGAAAGCGUGGGGAGCAAACAGGAUUAGAUACCCUGGUAGUCCACGCUGUAAACGAUGGAUGCUAGCCGUUGGGGAGCUUGCUCUUCAGUGGCGCAGCUAACGCUUUAAGCAUCCCGCCUGGGGAGUACGGUCGCAAGAUUA
rnacentral:rRNA from 1 species